UACGAGGGGGGCAAGCGUUGUUCGGAAUUAUUGGGCGUAAAGGGUGCGUAGGCGGUUUGGUAAGUCUGAUGUGAAAUCUAUGGGCUCAACUCAUAGUCUGCAUCGGAAACUGCCGGGCUUGAGUGUGGGAGAGGUGAGUGGAAUUCCUGGGGUAGCGGUGAAAUGCGUAGAUAUCAGGAGGAACACCUGUGGCGAAAGCGGCUCACUGGACCAUAACUGACGCUGAUGCACGAAAGCUAGGGGAGCAAACAGG
rnacentral:rRNA from 1 species